GCAAUAUUAGUCCCGCCUUCCACGCACUGGACCACCAGCACGCAUUAGCUAGGUCUUUCACGCUUUGAAAGCAAACGAGACAGGCUGCAGAUGAUCCGUGCUGAAUUAUCGUCGUUUUGAUACCACCACUACCGCAAGGGGUGAGACAGGCAGCCCCCACCGGGGGAGGCGGACCGCCGCCUCCUCCGGUGGCAAGUCCGGGAGCAAUUGGCCCAUGGGCUGCUGCCCAAAACAGAAGAAAAGAAAAGGCCACCAAAGCUCACCGACAGACACCCUCAGAAAAAUAGACAAGAGGAACAGCUGAAGGACCAAUUGGCCUGUGGGCUGCUGCCCAAAACAGCAGGAAAGAAAAAACCACCCAAGUAAGUUCCUAUGCUGUAGUAGCACCCAGAUUUUCAGUAUAAUCUGCGAUGACAGGUCCGGGUACCAGCGGGGCUGGGAAGAAAACCCGCCACCUGGGGACGUCAACCGGCGCCCUCUCCGGUGGAAGAUCCGGAUAUGUGUGGGAUGAGGAGCAGCUGGCGCAGGGCAUUGCGCCUGUAAGCAAUUCUUAACCCCCCCCAGCACAAAAGAGCCAGCCC